rnacentral:misc_RNA from 1 species
AGCCACUACGUCGCUCAUUUGCCAGCACUCUGCUAUCCGCUCUGCGGACGUUUGGUGCGUUCGCCACGACGAACCGGACAGGAAAGCAAGGCCGCAGAAACAGCCACUGCGGCCGUUCUCCUCUUGUGGACUUCAAGACUUUACUAGUAUAAAGACGCACGAGUCGCCUCUGGAAGGCUCAGCGCGUGCGCUCCCGUCGCACUCGCCGCAGACGGUGCACGGGCAGUAUCAGGUGCGGACUGUUCAACCAGGACAACGUUUGUAGUGUGGAAACAGUUGGAAACAGUUGACCUUGCGGACGGCAUGCAGCGUGAUGAGGAAGCAGCGGAAGCCCCCGAGCGUCGCAGCGCAACGCUGCGGAAACGCUUUGCUUUCCUAUGGGCGCGUUGGCGACACUUGUGCCAAGGCCUCAGCCGUUCACUACUACAGCCCAGUCGACACUGGGACCUCUGCACGUGUCGAGACGCUCUGGUAGUGCUCCUCGCGUCCAGCCUCUUGCUGGCUCUGUGGUUUUACUGCCUUGUCGUACUAUCGUACCAGGUGCUCACCGCGGGCUGCAUGUGCUGCGGACUCGUCUUGGCGUUGCUGGAGCGGCUUCAACUCUGUGCCUCCGGCGCAAUCAACAAAGGCGACCGUGACAUCUUCGAUCCAAAGUGCACCCGAAACUUUGAACGCUGGUCCGCUAUGGUGCAUGCGGAAGAAACACGCCAAGCUGGAUCUGUCGCUCGACUUGAGCACAGCAUUCGCGGAAUACCUGCUGAAACUCCAUGAUGCUACGUUCAGGCCCUUUGCGCCAAAGCUCAUGAAACAAAAUGAAAGUGUCACAGUACAGGUCAUUAAUCUUACGGAGGAUAGUAUCUGAGCUUUCACCAAUCCACGCUGUCAUGAGCGCACCGUGUUGCACAAGUCGAGCUACAAAGGCACUGACGUGAAUCCCAGUGACCGCGAACGGGUAGUAGCGCUUUAGUUGCGGCAUCGAUGAUCCUGUGCUGGUUGUGUGCUCCGAAACAUCACUCCAGCGUUCCUCGUUUGCCUCACUGAGGAUACGCUGGACAGUGCGGGGUCGGGUUUCUGCAAAGUAUAUAAGUUGAUGAAGCGCGAAGAUGCCCAUUCCGCGAAAGUCUGUGCCUGGAUCAUCACCCUGGAAACCGACAUACCGCCAGUCGCGGUUCGGUGCCCUUGCUCCGGCUGGGAGCAUGGGUUCGACCAGUUGCCGCAGCUUCUGCAGCAGCUCCUGAUGACUUUUAUCUGCGCUCUGAAAGCUGGUGUUCACCCGCUCGUGAACGAUUUGCUUGGCACGCUCCCACUGAUACAAGUCCUCUAAACUCAGCCUGAGGUUCUCUUGAACCCUCCGCCAGUUACGGUAGCGAGUGGGUACCUUUUUUGCUGCCAGGAGGAUUCGCGCCCAGGCGCCCAAGUCCAUAGGAGGCCCUCCGGCAAGCUCCGUCUUAAAGCGCUGCCACGCAUCCGAUGCUUCUUUGGAGUUCUGCAGACAACGGUAGACCUGAACGCUCAUUGCUGCAGAAUGAUCCUCUCGACUGCAAAUUCGCGCUAGCUCGCUUUCACCUGUGGCCAAGUGACGGAGACUUUUUGACCAGUUCCCACCGCCAGUGCCCAUGGGAAGUGUGCGCUGCUAAGGGUGCGUAGCGGUAGCGCCCGGCACUCGUUAUACACCCUGCAAAACCUACAGCUUAAGGUAGUACUGUUGUUGCUGCUGUUGAAUCAUUAAGGGAUGAAAAUACCGAAAAACAGCACCAAUUACUUUGCACAGUAAAAGUGCUACAGCACACAC